UCUGUGAACUCCUACGGGAGGCAGCAGUGGGGAAUUUUGGACAAUGGGGGCAACCCUGAUCCAGCAAUGCCGCGUGAGUGAAGAAGGCCUUCGGGUUGUAAAGCACUUUAAGCAGGGAGGAGAGGCUAAUGGUUAAUACCCAUUAGAUUAGACGUUACCUGCAGAAUAAGCACCGGCUAACUCUGUGCCAGCAGCCGCGGUAAUACAGAGGGUGCGAGCGUUAAUCGGAAUUACUGGGCGUAAAGCGAGUGUAGGUGGCUCAUUAAGUCACAUGUGAAAUCCCCGGGCUUAGCCUGGGAACUGCAUGUGAUACUGGUGGUGCUAGAAUAUGUGAGAGGGAAGUAGAAUUCCAGGUGUAGCGGUGAAAUGCGUAGAGAUCUGGAGUAAUACCGAUGGCGAAGGCAGCUUCCUGGCAUAAUAUUGACACUGAGAUUCGAAAGCGUGGGUAGCAAACAGGAUUAGAAACCCGGGUAGUCCAUCAGCG
rnacentral:rRNA from 1 species